CGUGCAGGCGGUUGGAUAAGUUGGGUGUGAAAGCUCCUGGCUCAACUGGGAGAGGUCGCUCAAGACUGUCCGACUGGAGCGUGGUAGGGGAAGGCGGAAUUCCGGGUGUAGUGGUGAAAUGCGUAGAUAUCCGGAGGAACACCAGUGGCGAAAGCGGCCUUCUGGACCACGACUGACGCUCAGACGCGAAAGCUAGGGGAGCAAACGGGAUUAGAGACCCCGGUAGUCCUAGCCGUAAACGAUGUGAACUUGGCGGUGGGCGGGUAAAACUGUUCACUGCCGCAGCUAACGCGAUAAGUUCACCACCUGGGGACUACGGCCGCAAGGUUAAA
rnacentral:rRNA from 1 species